GCAGAGAACCUGUUACACCUAUAUUGUAGAAAAACAUCCAACAUUGAUUUGAAAGUCAUCAGUGAUGGAGCAUCCACCACAACCCUUGUUGUCACUUGUCAGUGUGAGAACCAAGCUCCACUCUAAGCUGAUGAUCUGAUCAAUGUGAUACACCCGACACAGAGAGGUUACUUCCACCAGAAACCCGAAGAAUUGGCAGCAAACUGGACACAGCACCUAGGAAUGUGACUCAGACUCUUGGUCUAAACACUAGAUAAACCUGCCUCUCAUACUGAAAUCUCUUGUACACAGGUG